CGCCAGACUCCUACGGGAGGCAGCAGUGAGGCCUCUUGGUCAAUGGCCGGCAGGCUGACCCCGCCAAGCCGCGUGCCGGACGAAGGUGCCCCGCAUUGUACCCUUCUUUUGUCACGGGCCCAAAUCAGGCUCGCGAGCCUGACCGAGGGUACUUGAAGAAAAAGCAUCGGCUCACUCCGUGCCAGCAGCCGCGGUAAUACGGAGGAUGCGAGCGUUAUCCGGAUUUAUUGGGUUUAAAGGGUGCGUAGGCGGGACGGUUACUGCGUGGGUAAAUGCGCGGGGCUCACCCCCGGCGAGCCGUUGAAACUGGCUGUCUUGAGAUGUCGAGAGGUAUGCGGAAUGCGCAGUGUAGCGGUGAAAUGCUGAGAUAUUGCGCAGAACUCCGAUUGCGAAGGCAGCAUACCGGCGGCGAUCUGACGCUGAGGCACGAAAGCGUGGGUAUCGAACAGGAUUAGAUACCCUGGUAAC
rnacentral:rRNA from 1 species